rnacentral:rRNA from 1 species
UACGUAGGGGGCAAGCGUUGUCCGGAAUCAUUGGGCGUAAAGAGCGUGUAGGCGGCCCGAUAAGUCCGCUGUGAAAGUCCAGGGCUCAACCCUGGAAUGCCGGUGGAUACUGUCGGGCUCGAAUCCGGAAGAGGUGAGUGGAAUUCCUGGUGUAGCGGUGAAAUGCGCAGAUAUCAGGAGGAACACCAAUGGCGAAGGCAGGUCUCUGGGCCACUACUGACGCUGAGAAGCGAAAGCAUGGGGAGCGAACAGG